GAUGAACGCUGGCGGCGUGCCUAAUACAUGCAAGUCGAGCGAACAGACGCGGAUCUUGCUCCUCUGACGUUGGCGGCGGACGGGUGAGUAACAAGUGGAUAGCCUAUCUAUAAGACUGGGAGAACUUCGGGAAACCGGAGCUAAUACCGGAUAACAUGUUGAACCGCAUGGUUCAACAGUGAAAGACGGUGUUGCUGUCACUUAUAGAUGGGUCCGCGUGGAAUUAGCUGGUUGGUAAGGUGACGGCUUACCAAGGCAACGAUGUGUAGCCGACCUGAGAGGAUGAUCGGCCACCGUGGAGAUGAGGCACGGGGCCAACCCGGAAGUGAGGCAGCAGCCGGAAACCUGCGGCAGGGGGCGAAAGCGUGACUUAGCCACUGGGCGGGAGCGAGGCCGGGCUACGGCUCGUAAAACUCUGUUGUUAGGGAAGAACAAAUGUGUAAGUAACAAUGCGAGUAUGGACGGAACCGAAGAGGAAGGCCCGGCUAACUUAGGG
rnacentral:rRNA from 1 species